GAGUUUGAUCGUGGCUCAGGACGAACGCUGGCGGCGUGCCUAAUACAUGCAAGUCGAGCGGGAUGAUGAAGAAGCUUGCUUCUUCUGAUUUUAGCGGCGGACGGGUGAGUAACACGUGGGCAACCUACCUUGUAGAUUGGGAUAACUCCGGGAAACCGGGGCUAAUACCGAAUAAUCCAUCUUGCUUCAUGGCAAGAUGUUGAAAGGCGGCUUCGGCUGUCACUACGAGAUGGGCCCGCGGCGUAUUAGCUAGUUGGUAGGGUAAUGGCCUACCAAGGCGACGAUACGUAGCCGACCUGAGAGGGUGAUCGGCCACACUGGGACUGAGACACGGCCCAGACUCCUACGGGAGGCAGCAGUAGGGAAUCUUCCACAAUGGACGAAAGUCUGAUGGAGCAACGCCGCGUGAGUGAAGAAGGUUUUCGGAUCGUAAAACUCUGUUGUAAGGGAAGAACACGUACGAGAGUAACUGCUCGUACCUUGACGGUACCUUAUUAGAAAGCCACGGCUAACUACGUGCCAGCCG
rnacentral:rRNA from 1 species